AUUGCUUUAUAUGCUAUAUAUCUGUCUGUCUGUCUGUCUGUCUGUCUGUCUACCUAUCCAUCCUCCUGGCACUAUGCUUACUUAUAGCUCUAUUGAAAUACAGGGUAACAUUUUGCAGACAUCUUGAAUCAAAACCAUAAUAAUUUACCUUUCAUAUAUUAGUUUAAAUUAAUAAUUCCUAUGAUCGAAUAUAGUUAUGGAUCACACAUAAUUUAGCCUUUAUGUUAUUUAACCCCUAAAUUCAUAAAUACAUUUAGAAUAGUGCAGUAAGGCUUACUAAAUUUAUAAUGUAUUCACUAAACAGUGCAUUAUGGGCAGUUGACUCUCAGAAUGUAAGCCAAAAUUUACAUAGCUGCAAAAUACCUCUGGUCCACAUAGUAUUGCUGCAGUUUACCUAAGCUCUAGGUUUAGUGAAUGAAUGCAAAUAUUCUCCAUGUAAAAUGUGUAUUUUUACACAAUCACUGAAAUCUUACUAAAUUCAUAUUCACAUCACAGCUGAUUUUGUGUGACUGUAAUUAGGUAAAAUACUCAGCUAACAAACCAUCACAAAUAUUUAAGUAAAAAAAA